AGAGUUUGAUCAUGGCUCAGAACGAACGCUGGCGGCGUGGAUAAGACAUGCAAGUCGAACGCUGAUUUCAGGGUAGCAAUAUUCUGGAGUCGGAGUGGCGCAAGGGUGCGUAACACGUGGGUAAUUUGCCGUGAAGUUGGGGAUAACUCGCUGAAAGGCGAGCUAAUACCGAAUGUGAAAAUUGGAAGGCAUCUUUUGAUUUUCAAAGUUGGGGACCGCAAGGCCUGACGCUUCACGAUAAGCCCGCGGCCUAUCAGCUAGUUGGUGAGGUAACGGCUCACCAAGGCUAAGACGGGUAGCUGGUCUGAGAGGACGACCAGUCACACUGGAACUGAGACACGGUCCAGACACCUACGGGUGGCAGCAGUCGAGAAUUUUUCUCAAUGGGCGAAAGCCUGAAGGAGCGACGCCGCGUGGGGGAUGAAGGGCUUCGGCUCGUAAACCCCUGUCAUUUGCGAACAAACCCCGCGACCUAACACGUCGCGGGCUGAUAGUAGCGAAAGAGGAAGGGACGGCUAACUCUGUGCCAGCAGCCGCGGUAAUACAGAGGUCCCAAGCGUUGUUCGGAUUCACUGGGCGUAAAGGGUGCGUAGGUGGCGGGGUAAGUUUGAUGUGAAAUCUCCGGGCUUAACCCGGAAAUGGCAUUGAAUACUAUUCUGCUGGAGGGUUGGAAGGGAGACUGGAAUUCUCGGUGUAGCAGUGAAAUGCGUAGAUAUCGAGAGGAACACCAGUGGCGAAGGCGAGUCUCUAGGACGGUACUGACGCUGAGACGCGAAAGCGUGGGGAGCGAACAGGAUUAGAUACCCCAGUAGUCC
rnacentral:rRNA from 1 species